GAUGAACGCUGGCGGCGUGCCUAAUACAUGCAAGUCGAGCGAACGGACGAGAAGCUUGCUUCUCUGAUGUUAGCGGCGGACGGGUGAGUAACACGUGGAUAACCUACCUAUAAGACUGGGAUAACUUCGGGAAACCGGAGCUAAUACCGGAUAAUAUUUUGAACCGCAUGGUUCAAAAGUGAAAGACGGUCUUGCUGUCACUUAUAGAUGGAUCCGCGCUUCAUUAGCUAGUUGGUAAGGUAACGGCGUACCAAGGCAACGAUGCAUAGCCGACGCGGGAGGGGGUAGGCCCCAGUAGAAAGUGACCAGCGGCACAAGACCCGAGGGAGGGCCCAGGUGGGGAAUUUUCGCAAAUGGGGGAAAGCCUGCCGGAGGAACGCCGGGGGGGUGAAGAAGGGCUUCGGACUGUAAAACGUUUUUAUGGGGGAAAAACAUUUGUGUAAGUAACGGGGCACAUCUUGCGGUAACCAAUAAAGAAACCCCGGGUAAAUUCGUG
rnacentral:rRNA from 1 species